UCCUGACCUCAGGCUGUAGGUGCCUCAAAGC
rnacentral:piRNA from 1 species